UUUCCGUAGGUGAACCUGCGGAAGGAUCAUUAAAGAAUUUGCCCCGUCCUCUCGAGGAUGGGUCCUCUUCUAAACCGUGUAUACAUACCUUUGUUGCUUUGGCGGGCCGCCGUCUCGGCGUUGGCUUCGGCUGACUGUGCCCGCCAGAGAACCCCAACUCUUCUGUUUAGUAUUGUCUGAGUACUAUAUAAUAGUUAAAACUUUCAACAACGGAUCUCUUGGCUCUG
rnacentral:misc_RNA from 1 species